rnacentral:misc_RNA from 1 species
GGUGGAUUCAUGCUCAUGAACAUCGCGAAUCAUCCAGCUAGAAUUCGCAGCAAACAUGCAAGUAGUAAGCUGGUUCUCUAGAUCUUGAUUUUGAUACGGAGGUGCAUAAUAAAUAUUGCUGGAGGGGAGACAUUUCUGACCAAGAAUAUCAUGGAAGGAUUUUUCAGCAGCAUGAAGAGUGGAGGGUUGUAAAUUGCAGCAGCUUUCCUCCUCCAACUCUUCCUCCAAAAGAGUGCGGUUGAUGUACCUCAGAAUAGCAUCAGCUGAAGGAUCUUGAACGAUUGAGUUCAUCGAGGGAUUUCAGGAGUGGCGAGUAUGUAGUUUGGAUGAUGGCUAGGAAAUUAAGGUCUAUAUGAAGUAAACAAAUGAGAUGAUCAUGAUCAGCAAGAACUGAAAAGCUUGGUAAUUUGGAUGUUUGUGAAGACUGAAAAGCAAGUGAACAAGAAUGCAUCUAAUAGAAAGAUAGAGAGCUGAGCC